UAGGGAAUCUUCCACAAUGGACGCAAGUCUGAUGGAGCAACGCCGCGUGAGUGAAGAAGGUUUUCGGAUCGUAAAGCUCUGUUGUUGGUGAAGAAGGAUAGAGGUAGUAACUGGCCUUUAUUUGACGGUAAUCAACCAGAAAGUCACGGCUAACUACGUGCCAGCAGCCGCGGUAAUACGUAGGUGGCAAGCGUUGUCCGGAUUUAUUGGGCGUAAAGCGAGCGCAGGCGGAAGAAUAAGUCUGAUGUGAAAGCCCUCGGCUUAACCAAGGAACUGCAUCGGAAACUGUUUUUCUUGAGUGCAGAAGAGGAGAGUGGAAUUCCAUGUGUAGCGGUGGAAUGCGUAGAUAUAUGGAAGAACACCAGUGGCGAAGGCGACUCUCUGGUCUGCAACUGACGCUGAGGCUCGAAAGCAUGGGUAGCGAACAGG
rnacentral:rRNA from 1 species